rnacentral:ncRNA from 2 species
AUCUUAUCAAGAGCAGGUGGAGGGACUAGCCCGAUGAAACCCGGCAACCGGCGUGAAGACGCACGGUGCUAAUUCUUGCGGAAGAUAUGCAGGGGAGAAAGCCCCGGCGUUGAUUCUGGCAGAUGAGAG